GUUUCCAGCAGCACCUUGUUGAAACUGUCUCAUCAUUGACUGCAAUCCUGCCAUGCCACCUAGAGAAGAAAGAUCAAUAAGAAUAGAGUAGUUAAGUAGCCUGUUUACCAUGACAAGAAAAAAAAAAAAGAAUUGUUAUGUAUUUGAAGGAACAGUACUUUGAGGUACCUUUUUGAGCAAUUUGUAGAAAAGCUCAACUGAUAUAGACCUGGACCAAGUUCAACCCUAUAUUCUUCCAUCACUGUACAUACAGUAGCAAGUUAGGAAAGUUCUGAGAAUCCACUCAACGUACAAUUCGGAAAAGUGAUCCACGUUUUUCCUUUAUAGAACUGCCUUCUUAUUGUGACCCUCCUAUCACUGUUAAUAUUUGGGGGAUAGAGAUUAAAUGCUUACUACAAUUUCUGAAGAUCAAAAAAAUGAGAUGUACAUAUUUUCCUGAAGGUCUAAAUGCAUCAACAGCCUAAUCAUUUAUAAUGGCUCUGUUCUUAUUAAAAUCUGUGACAGCUCACUGAUCCCAAUGUAUCUUUUCCAAAUAUGUAACAUUAGAAUGAGUUGAACUGUUUCCAAAACCAAAAG